rnacentral:rRNA from 1 species
UAACACGUGGAUAACCUACCUAUAAGACUGGGAUAACUUCGGGAAACCGGAGCUAAUACCGGAUAAUAUAUUGAACCGCAUGGUUCAAUAGUGAAAGACGGUUUUGCUGUCACUUAUAGAUGGAUCCGCGCCGCAUUAGCUAGUUGGUAAUGUAACGGCUUACCAAGGCAGCGAUGCGUAGCCGACCUGAGAGGGUGAUCGGCCACACUGGAACUGAGACACGGUCCAGACUCCUACAGGAGGCAGCAGCG